rnacentral:rRNA from 1 species
CUCGGGGGUCCGAGUUGUUUUUUGCAGAGGACGCUUUGGCGUCCCUCGCGGUCUAAGUUCCUUGGAACAGGACAUCAGAGAGGGUGAGAAUCCCGUACGGGGUCGCCUGCCUUCGCCGUGUAAAGCCCCUUUGACGAGUCGAGUUGUUUGGGAAUGCAGCUCUAAAUGGGAGGUAAAUUUCUUUUAAAGCUAAAUACCGGCCAGAGACCGAUAGCGCACAAGUAGAGUGAUUGAAAGAUGAAAAGCACUUUGGAAAGAGAGUCAAACAGCACGUGAAAUUGUGAAAGGGAAGCGCUUGCAGCCAGACUUGCCUGCGGUUGCUCACCCGGGCUCUCGCCCGGGGCACUCUUCCGCAGGCAGGCCAGCAUCGGUUUGGGCGGUCGGAUAAAGGGCUCUGACACGUAGUUCCCCUCGGGGUCGACAUACAGGGGAGACGUCAUGCGACCAGCCCGGACUGAGGUCCGCGCAUCUGCUAGGAUGCUGGCGUAAUGGCUGUAAGCGGCCCGUCUUGAAACACGGAC